rnacentral:rRNA from 1 species
GACGAACGCUGGCGGCGUGCCUAAUACAUGCAAGUUGAGCGCUGAAGGUUGGUACUUGUACCAACUGGAUGAGCAGCGAACGGGUGAGUAACGCGUGGGGAAUCUGCCUUUGAGCGGGGGACAACAUUUGGAAACGAAUGCUAAUACCGCAUAAAAACUUUAAACACAAGUUUUAAGUUUGAAAGAUGCAAUUGCAUCACUCAAAGAUGAUCCCGCGUUGUAUUAGCUAGUUGGUGAGGUAAAGGCUCACCAAGGCGAUGAUACAUAGCCGACCUGAGAGGGUGAUCGGCCAAAUUGGGACUGAGACACGGCCCAAACUCCUACGGGAGGCAGCAGUAGGGAAUCUUCGGCAAUGGACGAAAGUCUGACCGAGCAACGCCGCGUGAGUGAAGAAGGGUUUCGGAUCGUAAAACUCUGUUGGUAGAGAAGAACGUUGGUGAGAGUGGAAAGCUCAUCAAGUGACGGUAACUACCCAGAAAGGGACGGCUAACUACAUG